UACGUAGGGUGCGAGCGUUAAUCGGAAUACUGGGCGUAAAGCGUGCGCAGGCGGUGAUGUAAGACAGAUGUGAAAUCCCCGGGCUCAACCUGGGAACUGCAUUUGUGACUGCAUCGCUGGAGUGCGGCAGAGGGGGAUGGAAUUCCGCGUGUAGCAGUGAAAUGCGUAGAUAUGCGGAGGAACACCGAUGGCGAAGGCAAUCCCCUGGGCCUGCACUGACCGCUCAUGCACGAAAGCGUGGGGAGCAAACAGG
rnacentral:rRNA from 1 species